UUAAUUGAAACCAAAUAAGAGGUAUAUCACUGUUAAUGAUAAAACUGGGAAACCCCCAAUUAAA
rnacentral:tRNA from 1 species